UACGGAGGGUGCAAGCGUUGUCCGGAUUUAUUGGGUUUAAAGGGUGCGCAGGUGGUUUAUUAAGUCAGUGGUGAAAGACGGUCGCUCAACGAUUGCAGUGCCAUUGAAACUAGUAGACUUGAGUAAAGUAGAGGUGGGCGGAAUUGAUAGUGUAGCGGUGAAAUGCAUAGAUAUUAUCAAGAACUCCAAUUGCGUAGGCAGCUCACUUGGCUUUUACUGACACUCAUGCACGAAAGUGUGGGUAUCAAACAGG
rnacentral:rRNA from 1 species